rnacentral:lncRNA from 1 species
GACAAUAGAAUAAGAAUGGAACUAGUAGUUGGCAUUAACAGCCAAAAAUGUGAUACAUGCUAAGAUUCAUGGCACUAGGUUGCACAACAUUCAACAACAACAAAAUCUCACAAGUGGGGUAUGGGGAGGGCAGUGUAUACGUAGACAUUGCCUCUACCUUGUGAAGGUAGAGAGACUGUUUCCGACGGACCCUCGGGUCAGUAAAGGUUGCACAACAUUCGUAAUGAAGAAAGGCCCCUACAAUAUUCUAUUUUCCGGCAAUCAUAAUUCAACAAAAUUCCUACUUCAAAAGUAGAAGUACCAUGACUAGAAGCAAACAUGCUAAUCAACAAGAUUUAGGACUUGAGUUUGAAGCACUUCUAACAGUAUUCCAAAUUUGGACAACCGAAUUUGCAACACGAGGGAGCACUUGAAGAAGGCCACCAGCGGCCAAUCCAAUGGCAAGGGCUUGAGGGUAGCCUGGC